CGGGUGAGUAACACAUCGGAACGUGCCCAGUAGUGGGGGAUAGCCCGGCGAAAGCCGGAUUAAUACCGCAUACGACCUGAGGGUGAAAGCGGGGGACCUGCGAGGGCCUCGCGCUAUUGGAGCGGCCGAUGGCAGAUUAGCUAGUUGGUGGGGUAAAGGCCUACCAAGGCGACGAUCUGUAGCUGGUCUGAGAGGACGACCAGCCACACUGGGACUGAGACACGGCCCAG
rnacentral:rRNA from 1 species